GGGGUUGUGGCUCAGUGGUAGAGCACAUGCCAAGCAUAUAUGAGGCAGUGGGUUUGAUCCUCAGCACCA
rnacentral:tRNA from 1 species